UACGUAGGGUGCGAGCGUUAAUCGGAAUUACUGGGCGUAAAGCGUGCGCAGGCGGUCUGUUGAGACCGAUGUGAAAUCCCCGGGCUUAACCUGGGAACUGCUUUGGUGACUGGCAGGCUUUGAGUGUGGCAGAGGGAGGUAGAAUUCCACGUGUAGCAGUGAAAUGCGUAGAGAUGUGGAGGAAUACCGAUGGCGAAGGCAGCCUCCUGGGCCAACACUGACGCUCAUGCACGAAAGCGUGGGGAGCAAACAGG
rnacentral:rRNA from 1 species